CUGUUUCAGGUUCUCCUCUCUCUCCCAUCGACUUUGGUUUCGGUCUCUCCUCUCACCGUUGACGAAUCACAUACCUCACCGGCGCAAUGGGCAAUGAAAUAUUCAUAUUGCCGAAAACGCUGAUCGGUCGGAGAUUAAAGCCCUAGAUCAACCAGAAUCUCAAUGAAGAAUCCUACAGAAAAAAGAGCAUCCUUGAGACUGCGAAAACAAGUUCGAGAAGACAUUUUGUUUAGAUGUUCUUCCUUAGCUUGAUUGAGCACACACUGCAAUUGCGGCCUCAUCUUCUGGACCUUCCCCUCAAUGAAGCCGUCAAAGGAGAGUUUGAAAGUCUCUUCUUAGACAAGCCAAAAUUGAUGAUUUUGAGCGGCUUCGCCCAGAAGAACUGAAUCAACAAAAUAUAGAAGCCUUAGUUGCUGAGAAUAAUCUGGAACAGGUUAAGGAAAGGUCAGUGCACUCCAAGGAAACGCCACAGUUCAUGUCAGGUGCUCAGUCAUUGGAGGUACUGCAGAAACUGGAAGUGCAGUUUCCUUUAGUGAUGAAUGAUGAUGAAGACCUCACCCAGUUAUCUGGGUCAAAAUCUACCUCUAGGGACAGAAAAAGGUCAUGAGCAACUUUUAAGUCCUCCCAUGAUGCUUCUGAACAUGAUUCUUACAGGUGCAUAUUGCACAGAGAGGUCUUGUGCAACCUUUGAUUGAGAUGCUUCAAUCUGCAGAUGUAUGGUUGAGGGAAAUGUCAUCCUUUGCAUUGGGGAGAUUGGCAUAGACAAAUGGAGUUGCUACUGUAGAAGCAUGGUGGCUCAAACUGGUCUCAGAAACAACCCAUCUCAGGAACAAUAACCAAAGAGGAGGAAGAAGCAGUGGAGACCCUGUACACAUUGGUAGGAAUGUUCCCUGACAAUGAUAAGACAGACAAUAAGGGUGAAUUGGUUGGCGAAUCAUCAGAAUCAAAGCCUUCAACUUUGCCAGAGGCGAGGGAGAGCCCUGCACCCACAUUAGAUCUGGUAUUAUGGCCAGGCUUGUCAUCAACAGGGUUGCUUGGGACAGGAAUUCAUGGCCCUUCCUUUCAUUCUUCAGCUAAAACUCAAGCUUGGCUAGAUAAUGCUACUGGCAUUACAGGACCUAGUUCAUUUGGAAAUGGUGUCUCAACCAAAAAGGUUUCUAGAGUUACAGUGCAUAAAAAGCAAUCAUGGAAAAGAUGUGCAGCUCAUAUGUUCACAUAAGUUGUCUUAUUAAAGAUUUAAAAAAUUCAGAGAGAAAGGAAAAGUUUUCAAUGCAGCCUAACCAAUUGAGAACAGAUGAAGGAUCAAAGGAAGUAGUUUCUCUGGCAGGCAACAAUCCCAGUGACCUGAGAAAUGGAUUGAAUGGAGUUGUUUCUGCUAACAGGAUCGGUGGUUCAGCUAUGGAGAAGAAUUCAAUUGAAGCUAGAAAAGGUAUUUUUCGACCGCAGGGGCUCCAUCAAGAUCAGCAGUGGGCUCAGCUCCUGCAUCUGGGACCUACACUUCUCUUUGUCUAAGUACAGUAGCAACUCCAUUUGUCUAAUGCUGGUUCUCCUGGAAAUAAUCUUACUCUAGUUGAUCCCUGCCCUUAUGAAAGGAACAAUAGUCAUGUGGAUGCUCAAUUGUAUUUGAUUUUGUUUGGUUGUGUUUUAAGAUAGAAUUUGAUUGUAUAAGGAUAAGUGAACAAGGCAUGUUCUAAGUUCAAUGUUUAGGUUAUGUUUUUUACAAAUGAAAACUUGACCAAUAA